rnacentral:rRNA from 1 species
GAUGAACGCUGGCGGCGUGCCUAAUACAUGCAAGUCGAGCGAACGGACGAGAAGCUUGCUUUUCUGAUGUUAGCGGCGGACGGGUGAGUAACACGUGGAUAACCUACCUAUAAGACUGGGAUAACUUCGGGAAACCGGAGCUAAUACCGGAUAAUAUUUUGAACCGCAUGGUUCAAAAGUGAAAGACGGUCUUGCUGUCACUUAUAGAUGGAUCCGCGCUGCAUUAGCUAGUUGGUAAGGUAACGGCUUACCAAGGCAACGAUGCAUAGCCGACCUGAGAGGGUGGUCGGCCACACUGGAACUGAGACACGGUCCAGACUCCUACGGGAGGCAGCAGUAGGGAAUCUUCCGCAAUGGGCGAAAGCCUGACGGAGCAACGCCGUGUGAGUGAUGAAGGUCUUCGGAUCGUAAAACUCUGUUAUUAGUGAAGAACAUAUGUGUAAGUAACUGUGCACAUCUUGACGGUACCUAAUCAGAAAGCCACGGCUAACUACGUG